UCCAGGAAAUUAAUAAUCAUAAAUACAUUCAUCAUGUUUAAUCAACCAUUAGUCCUCUUAUAAUGUUAAUUGUUAUAUAGUGAUGAUCAAGGGAGCCCCCUGGUGGCAGCUUGUGUAUAGGGGGAUCAGCUGGAGACACUCCCUGUUAUUCCACUGUCCAAAAUAAAGCUUCUUGACAAUAAAACACUGCUCACUGUACUUUCAGUUUUAUUUCUUACAUUUAAAUCUUGCGAAACAUGUUGUGGUUUUGACAUCUGAUGAACAUAAUACUCACACAGAACUUUCACCAUGUUUUCAAAUCUUCUUCUUCUGCUGUUUUGCUUCAUCAAUUCUAGCGGAUCCGCCCCUGCAUCUGUGACAGGACAAACAGAAAGCAGAGUCACCCUGUCAUGUGAAUUUGAGGACAGAGAGAUUUCAGAUAUUGUUUUAAGCAGGUCAAAAGAUAUCCUUGUUUGUCAGAAUAAAGAAUGUGAAAGUGAAAAUGGCCGAGUGUUUAGAGAAGGAUCAUGUGACGUCAUCAUCAAGGAUCUGAUCUUCAGUGAUGCUGGGAAAUACUUUCUGAAUAUU